rnacentral:lncRNA from 1 species
UCUCUCUUGUGAGCAUGAUUCCAUGAAUUUGGUUGCUGUAAUAUUGAUGAGCAUGGAGUGUUGGUUCGAAUGCCCUAUUUAAUUUCACUUUCUGGGCACUAAAAAUUUUCACGAGUGGUUGAGAGGAUGAAGUACUGUAGCGCGAACCCUAAAGAAGUCUGCCCAGAAUUUUCUUUUCAAACGCAUUGGUUGCUGUUGUAUUUCGCUUGCAUGGCUGUACUGUUCUUUUACCAUGAAGCCAAUGCCUCCCUGCCACGACUCCUAAUCGCUGCGCGCC